UACGUAGGGGGGCAAGCGUUGUCCGGAUUUACUGGGCGUAAAGGGCGCGCAGGCGGCGAUCUUUGUCAGGCGUGAAAGCCCCGGGCUUAACCUGGGAACUGCGCUUGGGGACGGGAUUGCUGGAGACCGGGGAGAGGAGAGUGGAAUUCCCAGUGUAGAGGUGAAAUUCGUAGAUAUUGGGAAGAACACCGGUGGCGAAGGCGGCUCUCUGGACCGGAUCUG
rnacentral:rRNA from 1 species